AUUGAACGCUGGCGACAGGCCUAACACAUGCAAGUCGAACGGUAGCACAGAGGAGCUUGCUCCUUGGGUGACGAGUGGCGGACGGGUGAGUAAUGUCUGGGAAGCUGCCCGAUGGAGAGGGAUAACUACUGGAAACGGUAGCUAAUACCGCAUAACGUCGCAAGACCAAAGAGGGGGACCUUCGGGCCUCUUGCCAUCGGAUGUGCCCAGAUGGGAUUAGCUAGUAGGUGGGGUAACGGCUCACCUAGGCGACGAUCCCUAGCUGGUCUGAGAGGAUGACCAGCCACACUGGAACUGAGACACGGUCCAGACUCCUACGGGAGGCAGCAGUGGGGAAUAUUGCACAAUGGGCGCAAGCCUGAUGCAGCCAUGCCGCGUGUAUGAAGAAGGCCUUCGGGUUGUAAAGUACUUUCAGCGGGGAGGAAGGGGUUAAGGUUAAUAACCUUAGCCAUUGACGUUACCCGCAGAAGAAGCACCGGCUAACUCCGUGCCAGCAGCCGCCGUAA
rnacentral:rRNA from 1 species